GCUGCUCUGAUAAUCACACACCUCUUCGUGGUGAGCAGCAGGGAACGAUCUUACAGUCGGCGAAGAUGUGAGA
rnacentral:ribozyme from 10 species